GGGAGUGUGCUUGGCAAGUAUCAUAGUUGGGUGGGGCUGCUGAUACCUCAGAAAGCAGGAAUAGAAUUCUUCAAAUGACCCUGACAAAAUAAGGGAGAUGAACCAUCACAAGGAGGACCAUGUUCAGAGAGGACGAACACAGAGAUGGGGUUUCACCAUGUUGACCAGGCUGGUCUCGAACUCCUGAGCUCAAGCAAUCCUCCCACCUCGGCUUCCCAAUUGACCUUUUGAGGUCAAUUCAGAGUCUUUGUUCUUAUGUUCCAUCCUUUGAUUGCUCCAUUUGAGGUAUUACGUGGCCUCCUAUUUGAGACCAUACCUGGCUUCUGUUCUGUAGUGGGGAGUGUACCUCCAAGUUAGGAGGGCUCUCUAUUUUGGGACGAUUUAGACACUGCCUCUCCUCUAAGAACUCAAGGUGCCAUGGCAAAACCAGCUCCAAUCUUAUUAGGGACCCAUCAGUGAGAGAUUACAAUUGGUCUUCACACCUUUGAAAGGUCUAGGUGGAAGAGGUGACCUCCAAGACAGGCAUGAUUUCAAUCUAAUUGACAGUCAAUUCUGUGCCCAUGUAGCCUCAGGUUCUCAGCCAUGUUGCUGAUGGCCAGCCCUGGGCCCAGCUAAAAUGCCCAGCUCCUUGUUUGAAGUGAAGCUGAGGAUAUACUUGGAUUUUAUUUAACAUUGCAAAAAGCAUUAGUGCCUAGAUUGGGUCAGUCCACAUCCCUAGAUUUAUCUGGUUUCUAUUUUAGUCCUUUAAGGAGCUGGACACAGCUAUCAUAUGAUCUGAAUUUGUAGUGUGUGUGAAGGGUCAGAGGUUGGUCACUGUGGAAAUCUCCAUAGCUUGAAGUAUGGUUACCAGGACUGUAGGCUUGGCCUUGUGCUAGUUUACAUACUGUGGGGGAUAGAAGACACCUAUUUUGGGUUGCGUACUGUCAGGAAGACAAAACGGAACCACAAUCAAAUGAAUGAAAUGCAUGUGCUUCAAUUGUAUGGUAAAGGUUAAAGGGAUUGGAGAAACUGUAAGAAAGGCUAUGAUGGGAUUGGGGUGGGUGGGUAGAGUAGUGGGCAUUCCAAAUUGGAGAGAAACCUCAGCCAAAUCAUGGAGAUGAGAAGGUCUAGGUGUGCUUGAGGGGACUGGCCAAAAUGGUGGGAAAAUCAGCUUGGUGAGGCAGCUCAUGAAGAUCUUCACAGCAGAAGAGUUUGGCUAUUAUUGAUUGAGCAACUGGACACCCUGACUGAACUCUUUUGUGAAUGGUUUUAUGGUGGAAAAACAAAACCUCCUCAGCUCCUCUUUCACUCUUUCUCUUCUGCAAGGAAAAGGAUUUUCAGACUAGAAAGGACAAGGUGAACACCAGAGAGAAGCUCCUGAAGGCAGUCUAGUCCAAGAGAGCCGUAAGCUGCCUUGAGUAACUCCAUCUCAUUGUCUGAGUCAGUAACAUCCCAGGGCACUUAAGGACUUGCAGCUCAAAUUGCAGGACAACUGGUGGUGGCCCUGAAAACCCCAUGAAGAAGGGAAGAGAUACGUGCUGCAGCCUACAGAUGGGUAAACAUGGCCCCACUUUGACAGAUGGGAAAAGGUAAACUCCACAAAUUAUAGAUCAAUACAUUUGAUAUUGAUUGAGGGCAAGAUUCUAGGACAAAUGAUUACAAGGAUGGUUGGUGAGCACUUACAAAAGGAAGCAACGAUCACAUGGAUCGUCCCCACAUGGAUUCAGGAAAAACAAAUCAUGCCCCGCUGGGUUCAUUUCCUUUGACAGAGUGACCAGACAGGUAGAGGAGGGAAAAGUUAUCACUCACAGUGUAUCUAGAGUUCAACCAUUCUUUCAAUGCUUUUGGGACAACAUGUAUACAUGUGGGGUGGGUAAAGGUAAACCUAGGCGAAUUCUUAACUGGUUGAAUGACUACAUACAAAAUAGUUCUGUUUUAAUGUCACUAGAUCAAAUUUACGAAUGACACAAAGUUGGUAAAGUCCCUUAUUUGAACUUCAAAAGGUGGCAGUACAAAUGUAAGACAUGAGAGAUGUGGCUUAGAGGGGUUUUAGAGUGAAUGAAAGCUCAUGAGUUGAAAGUGUGGUUUGGUUGCUGUAAAAAGUAUUGUGACCUUGGGCCAUAUUACUAAGAGUACAACUUUCAGAACAAAGGAGGUGAUCAUCUUGUGCUACUCUGCACUGAUCAGAUCACAUCUGAUGCCCAGUGUUCAGUUAUGAGCACCAGACUUCAAGGGAGAUGUUAACAAAAGUAUAUCCAGAGAAGAGUGAGAAGACUGAAGAAUCCCAGGAGAAAUUUGUCUACUGUCAGUGAGUAAUUACUGGGCUCACAGUAGAUUUGUUCUGCGUGACUUCAGGGCUCCAAGAUCUAAUGGAUGGAAAUUAUAGGAAAGCAGAUUUGGCUUCAACAUAAGGAAGAUGCUCCUUUUCCUUCCUUUUUUAUAAUGAAAAAUUAUAAUAAAAGUUUCAGCUCCUGA